UACAGAGGUCUCAAGCGUUGUUCGGAAUCACUGGGCGUAAAGGGUGUGUAGGCUGCGUGUUAAGUCAGAUGUGAAAUCCCGGGGCUCAACCUCGGAACUGCAUCCGAUACUGGCAUGCUAGAGAAUUGGAGAGGAGUCUAGAAUUCACGGUGUAGCAGUGAAAUGCGUAGAUAUCGUGAGGAAUACCAAGUGCGAAGGCAGGACUCUGGACAUUUUCUGACGCUGAGACACGAAGGCUAGGGGAGCAAACGGG
rnacentral:rRNA from 1 species